rnacentral:lncRNA from 1 species
UAGAGGCAGUGUUGUCACUGUGUUGCCCAGGCGGAUCUCAAACUCUUGGGCUCAAGUGAUCUGCCCACCUCGUUCUCCCAAAGUGCUGAGAUUACAGGCAUAAGCCACCGUGCCUAGCCUCUAAUGUUUUUUUAAUAGACAUAGAAUGAUGACAAAUAAUUGUUUAAUGUGUAUUAAAAGUUGGUGUUUAUGCAUUAUUAAUCCCUUUUAUCACUUAGAUUCAUCACUGCUAUGGAUGCUAUCCUUAAUAUAUAUUUACUUUUAGUUUCAGCCCACUUGAAGUUUUGUGCCAGCCUUCUUACCUAAUUAAACAACACUUCAGCAGCGUGGUUGCUAAUGCCAGAAACCAAAAAACAGUAAACAUGAGUCAAGAUGAAUUAAAAGAUAAGCCAAUUUUUAAGGCCGAGCGCAGUGGCUCACACCUGUAAUCCCAGCACUUUGGGAGGCCAAGGUGGACGGAUCACUUGAGGCCAGGAGUUCGAGACCAGCAUGGCCAACAUGGUGAAACCCCAUCUCUACUAAAAAUACAAAAAUCAGCUGGGUGUGGUGGCGCAUGCCUGUAGUACCAGUUACUCCAGAGACUGAGGCAGGAGAAUUGCUUGAACCUGUGAGGCAGUGAGACAAGAUCACACCACUGCUCUCCAACCUGGGCAACAGAGUGAGGCUCUUGUCUCAAAAAAUAAAUUAAAAAGCCAUUUUUAUAUUCAUCAAAGUAGAGUUAGGAACAACCAAAAUUGCCAAGGAUAAUUAGGGACAUUAUAUAAUGAUAAAAUUCACCAAGACAGUGCUAAAAGUGUAAGCACUUAUUAUCAGAUCUUAAAAAUACAUGAAGAGACCAGGUACAGAGACUCAUUCAUUCCUGUAAUUCCAAUGCUUUGGGAAGCCAAGGUGGGAGGAUUGCUUGAGGCCAAGAGUUCAAGACCAGCCUACUCAACAUAGGGAGACCCUAUCUCUACAAAAAAUCAAAAAUUAGCUAGGCAUAGUGAUAUACAUCUGUAGUCCUAGGUACUGAGGAGCCUGAGGUGGGAAGACUGUCUGAGCCCAGGAGUUUGAGGCUGCAGUGAAGCAUGACAGAGUUGCUAUGCUCCAGCCUGAGUGACAGGGUAAGACUCAAAAAAAAAAAAAAAAACAUGAAGCAAAAAGUGGUAGCAUUAAAAGGAGGACUGGACAAAUCUUCAUUUACAGUUGGAAACUUAAACAUUCCUCUCUCAGUAGUCCAUAGAAUUAAUAGAAAAUUAGCAAAGAUGUAGGAAAAUGGAAUAAUACUAAUAACCAGCUAGAUUUAAUUGACAUAAAACCCUUCUACCUAAAACAGCAGAAUAAGCAUUCUUUUCAAGUACACAUGGAACACUCACCAAGAUAAACCACAUCAUGGGUCUUAAACCUUAACAAAUUUAAAAGAGAUGAAAUCAUAUAAAAUAUGUUUUUUGACCAUAAUCUAGAAAUCAGUAACAGCAAGAAAAUCUCCAAACACUUGGAAAUUAAACAACACAUUUCUAAAUAACUCAUGAUACUACAGGGAAGUCUUAAAAAAUAUUUUAAAAUAAAUGAAAAUAUCACCGUGCUUGGAAUGCAGCCAUGCUGGUGCUGCAAUUUAUAACAAUCGACUGCUUUUUACUAAACAAGAAAAAGUUCUCAAAUUAACACUCUAAGCUCCCACUUUAAGAAAGUAGGAAAAUCUAACUGGGUGUGGUGGCACACCACUAUAGUCCCAGCCACUCAGAAGGCUGAGGUAGGAGGAUCAUGACCCCACGAGUUUGAGGCUGCAGUGAGCUAUGAUCAUAACACUACUCCAGUCUGGGUGAUGAAGUGAGACCUGUCUACAAAAAAAAGAAGCCCAAACUAAACCUAAAGCAAGCAGAAAGAAGAAAAAAAAAAAAGAGGCAGAAAAUAAAUGCAAUUGUAAACAAAUUAAUAGAAAACAAUCAAAAAACUAAUUUUUGAAAAGAGCAGUAAAAUUGAUAAACCUCUGGCAAAAUUGACAAAAAAAGAGAAGGAAUUCCAAUCUUUGAUUCCAAUCUUAGGAAUCAAAGAAAAGAUAACAGUAUAGAUCCUCAUUAGAACGACACAAAGAAAAUACCAUGAACAACUCUAUGCACAUAGGAUUAGAUGAACCAAUUCCUUGAAAGGCAUACAGUACCCAAACUUAAAUAAACCUCAAUAAAUUCUCUAUUUUUAAAAAUUGAACCAUUGUUUAAAACCUUACUAGCAAAUUCAUAAAACAUUUAAAGAUAUAACAAAUUCUACAAAUCUCUUCCAGAAAGAAUAAUCACUUUGCAAUUCAUUUUACAAGACCAGAAUUAACAUGAUACCAUACCAAGAUAAAGAUAACACAAGGAAAAAACAAACAAAAACAAUUGCACAAUAUCCAAAAUGAACACAGACAUAAAAAUCCUCAAAAAAUAAAAAUCUAGAUACAUAAGCUGAAUAAUGUACCAUGACCAAGUUUGGGGUUGGGAGGAAAUAUAAGCUGUUUCAAAAUUCUGGAAUCAGUAAAAUCCAUGAUUUUAACAGUCUAAACAAAAAGAAUGACCAAACUGAUACAGAAAGAGCAUAGAAAAUUCAGCAUCCACUCAUGAAACUCUGCUAACAACAAAUUAAUAGAUGGGAACUUGCUCAACAUGACAAAGGGAAUUUAAGAAAAGCCUACAGCUUGCAUACAUAAUGGUCAAAAACAAUGCUUUCAAAAUCCUAAGAUCCAGAACAAGACUGAGAUGGCCACUUUCUCCAUGUUAUUGUUCUGGCCACUGCAAUCAGGCAAGAAAAAUCAUAGACUAAAAAGAAUAAAAUAAAACUGUUCCUAUUCGUAGUUUAUGUAGAAAACUUAAUGAGUUAACAACAAAAUCAGGCAAGAAAAAUCAUAGACUAAAAAGAAUAAAAUAAAACUGUUUCUAUUCGUAGUUUAUGUAGAAAACUUAAUGAGUUAACAACAAAAUAACUCCCAAAACUAAUGAAGUUUAGCAAGGUCACAGGAUACAAGGUCAACAAACAAAAAUCAAACACAUUUGUACAUACUAGCGAUGUGCAAUUGGAAACCCAUGUUUCAAAAAUAAUACAACUUAACAAUAGUUCCUCCAAAAUGAACACUGUGGAAUAUAUGCUGAAAAAUGACAUAAAAUGCUGAUAACUGAAAUGAAAGAGGUCCUAAAUAGAUACCUCAUGUUCAUGGAUUGGAAGACACAAAAUUGCAUUCAAAACCCCAGUAGGAUUUUUUGUAGAUACAGAGUAGCUAAUUCUAAAAUUCAUAUGGAAGGCAAAGAAACUAAAUUAGCCAAAACAAUUUUGAAAAAGAUUUCAAAAAAAUUUUGAAGGAAUCAUGCUGCCCAGUUUUAAGACUUACUAUAAAGCUGUGAUAAUCAAGGCAAUCUGGUAUUUAUGAAAGGAUAAACACAUAGAUCGAUGGAAUAAAGUCCAAAACCAGACUCACAUAAAUAGCAAUUGAUUUCUGACAAAGGUGAAAAGACAACUCAAUGGGGAAUGGAGAGUUUUUCAACAGACGAUUUUAAAACAACUGAACAUCCAUAUGCAAAAAAAUAAACCUACCUAAAUUUCACAGCUUAUACAAAAAUUAACCUAAAAUGGAUCACGGAUCUAAAUGUAGAACUAAAUUUAUAAAAUUUUUAGAAGAAAAAAAUCCAUAGGCCGGGCACGGUGGCUCAUGCCUGUAAUCCCAGCACUUCAGAGGCUGAGGCGGGCAGAUCCGUUGAGGUCAGUUCAAGACCAGCCUAGCCUAUAUGGUGAAAUCCCAACUCUACUAAAAAUAAAAAAUAAAAAAAAAAUGGGCUGGGAGUGGUGGUGCACACCUGUAGUCCCAGCUACUUGGGAGACUGAAGCACAAGAAUCACUUGAACCCAGCAGGCAGAGGUUGCAGUGAGUGGAGAUUGUGCCACUGCACCCCAGCCUGGGUGACAGAGUGAGAAUGUGAGUCAAAAAAAGAAAAAAGAAAAAUUCCUCAUGACCUGGGGUUAAGGUUCCUAGACAUGACACCAAAAACAUGAUCCACCAAUGGCAUGAUGGAUAAGACUUCAUCAAAAUUAAGUCUGUGCUUCAAAAGACACUAUCAACAAAGUAAAGAGAGAAUAGGAGAAAUUACAAAUCAUAUACCUGGUAAGAGACUUGUACCCAGAAUAUAUAAAGACUCUUACUACCCAAUAAGACAACUAAAAAAAUGGGUAAAUAAUUUGAAUAAACACUGCUUUAAGGAAGAUACACAAAUAGCCAAUAAGCACAAGAAAGAAUGCUCAACAUAGUAUCAGAGAAUAGCAAACCAAAACUAGAUAGAGAUCCCAUUUCAUAUCCACUAGAGUGACUAAAAUCAAAAUGUCAGGUAAACAAGUAUUGGCAAGGAUGCAGAGAAAAUGGAACCUGCAUACACUGCUGGUGGGAAAG